GGAGUCUAGCAUGUGCGCGAGUCAUUGGGACUUGCGAAACCUAAAGGCGAAAUGAAAGUGAAGGCGUGCCUCGCGCGCGUCGAGGGAGGAUGGUCCGGGCCUCGGCCCGGUCUCGCACUCCCGGGGCGUUUCGUUCUCAUCGCGAGAUGAGGCGCACCCAGAGCGUACACGCUGGGACCCGAAAGAUGGUGAACUAUGCCUGGUCAGGACGAAGUCAGGGGAAACCCUGAUGGAGGUCCGUAGCGAUUCUGACGUGCAAAUCGAUCGUCGGAACUGGGUAUAGGGGCGAAAGACUAAUCGAACCAUCUAGUAGCUGGUUCCCUCCGAAGUUUCCCUCAGGAUAGCUGGCGCUCGCUUUGCGAGUCUCAUCCGGUAAAGCGAAUGAUUAGAGGCAUUGGGGUCGAAACGGCCUCAACCUAUUCUCAAACUUUAAAUGGGUGAGAUCUCCGGCUUGCUUGAAACGUGAAGCCGCGAGAUAACCUUUUCGGAUCAGAGUGCCAAGUGGGCCAUUUUUGGUAAGCAGAACUGGCGCUGUGGGAUGAACCAAAGGCAGAGUUAAAGCGCCCAAAUCGACGCUUAUGGGAUACCAUGAAAGGCGUUG
rnacentral:rRNA from 1 species